CCUAUAGUGGGGGGACUCUAGAACCAGAGGACACAGAUAGAGUGGAUGUGGAGAGGAUGUUUCCUAUAGUGGGGAGUCUAGGACCAGGGGACAUAGAUAGAGUGGAUGUGGAGAGGAUGGUUCCUAUAGUGGGGAGGUCUAGGACCAGAGGACACAGUUAGAGUGGAUGUGGAGAGGAUGUUUCCUAUAGUGGGGGAGUCUAGGACCAGAGGUCACAGAUAGAAUGGAUGUGGAGAGGAUGUUUCCUGUAGUGGGGGAGUCUAGGACCAGAGGGUACAGAUAGAGUGGAUGUGGAGGGGAUGUUUCCUAUAGUGGGGGAGUCUAGGACCAGAGGACACAGAUAGAGUGGAUGUGGAGAGGAUGUUUCCUAUAGUGGGGGAGUCUAGGACCAGAGGACACAGAUAGACUGGAUGUGGAGGGGAUGUUUCCUGUAGUGGGGGAGUCUAGUGCCAGAGAACACAGAUAGAGUGGAUGUGGAGGGGAUGUUUCCUGUAGUGGGGGAGUCUAGGACCAGAGGACACAGAUAGAGUGGAUGUGGAGAGGAUGUUUCCUAUAGUGGGGAGUCUAGGACUAGAGGACACAGAUAGAGUGGAUGUGGAGAGGAUGGUUCCUAUAGUGGGGAGUCUAGGACCAGAGGACACAGAUAGAGUGGAUGUGGAGAGGAUGGUUCCUAUAGUGGGGAGGUCUAGGACCAGAGGACACAGUUAGAGUGGAUGUGGAGGGGUUGUUUCCCACAGUGGGUUAGUCUAGGACUAGAGGACACAGAUAGAGUGGAUGUGGAGAGGAUGUUUCCUAUAAUGGAGUCUAGGACGAGAGGACACAGAUGGAGUGGAUGUGGAGAGGAUGUUUCCUAUAGUGGGGGAAUCUAGGACCAGAGGACACAGAUAGAGUGGAUGUGGAGAGGACGUUUCCUAUAGUGGGGGAGUCUAGGACCAGAGGUCACAGAUAGAGUGAUGUGGAGAGGAUGUUUCCUGUAGUGGGGGAGUCUAGGACCAGAGGGUACAGAUAGAGUGGAUGUGGAGGGGAUGUUUCCCACAGUGGGGGAGUCUAGGACCAGAGGACACAGAUAGAGUGGAUGUGGAGAGGAUGUUUCCUAGAGUGGGGGAGUCUAGGACCAGACGACACAGAUAGAGUGGAUGUGGAGAGGAUGUUUCCUAUAGUGGGGGAGUCUAGGACCAGAGGACACAGAUAGAGUGGAUGUGGAGGGGAUGUUUCCUGUAGUGGGGGAGUCUAGUGCCAGAGAACACAGAUAGAGUGGAUGUGGAGGGGAUGUUUCCUGUAGUGGGGGAGUCUAGGACCAGAGGACACAGAUAGAGUGGAUGUGGAGAGGAUGUUUCCUAUAGUGGGGAGUCUAGGACUAGAGGACACAGAUAGAGUGGAUGUGGAGAGGAUGGUUCCUAUAGUGGGGAGGUCUAGGACCAGAGGACACAGUUAGAGUGGAUGUGGAGGGGUUGUUUCCCACAGUGGGUUAGUCUAGGACUAGAGGACACAGAUAGAGUGGAUGUGGAGAGGAUGUUUCCUAUAAUGGAGUCUAGGACGAGAGGACACAGAUGGAGUGGAUGUGGAGAGGAUGUUUCCUAUAGUGGGGGAAUCUAGGACCAGAGGACACAGAUAGAGUGGAUGUGGAGAGGACGUUUCCUAUAGUGGGGGAGUCUAGCACCAGAGGUCACAGAUAGAGUGAUGUGGAGAGGAUGUUUCCUGUAGUGGGGGAGUCUAGGACCAGAGGGUACAGAUAGAGUGGAUGUGGAGGGGAUGUUUCCCACAGUGGGGGAGUCUAGGACCAGAGGACACAGAUAGAGUGGAUGUGGAGAGGAUGUUUCCUAGAGUGGGGGAGUCUAGGACCAGACGACACAGAUAGAGUGGAUGUGCAGAGGACGUUUCCUGUAGUGGGGGAGUCAAGGACCAGAGGACACAGAUAGAGUGGAUGUGGAGAGGAUGUUUCCGAUAGUGGGGGAGUCUAGGACCAGAGGACACAGAUAUAGUGGAUGUGGAGAGGAUGUUUCCUAUAGUGGGGGACUCUAGAACCAGAGGACACAGAUAGAGUGGAUGUGGAGAGGAUGUUUCCUAGAGUGGGGGAGUCUAGGACCAGACGGCACAGAUAGAGUGGAUGUGCAGAGGACGUUUCCUGUAGUGGGGGAGUCAAGGACCAGAGGACACAGAUACAGUGGAUGUGGAGAGGAUGUUUCCGAUAGUGGGGGAGUCUAGGACCAGAGGACACAGAUAGAGUGGAUGUGGAGAGGAUGUUUCCUAUAGUGGGGGACUCUAGAACCAGAGGACACAGAUAGAGUGGAUGUGGAGAGGAUGUUUCCUAUAGUGGGGAGUCUAGGACCAGAGGACACAGAUAGAGUGGAUGUGGAGAGGAUGUUUCCUAUAGUGGGGGACUCUAGAACCAGAGGACACAGAUAGAGUGGAUGUGGAGAGGAUGUUUCCUAUAGUGGGGAGUCUAGGACCAGGGGACAGAGAUAGAGUGGAUGUGGAGAGGAUGGUUCCUAUAGUGGGGAGGUCUAGGACCAGAGGACACAGUUAGAGUGGAUGUGGAGAGGAUGUUUCCUAUAGUGGGGGAGUCUAGGACCAGAGGUCACAGAUAGAAUGGAUGUGGAGAGGAUGUUUCCUGUAGUGGGGGAGUCUAGGACCAGAGGGUACAGAUAGUGUGGAUGUGGAGGGGAUGUUUCCUAUAGUGGGGGAGUCUAGGACCAGAGGACACAGAUAGAGUGGAUGUGGAGAGGAUGUUUCCUAUAGUGGGGGAGUCUAGGACCAGAGGACACAGAUAGAGUGGAUGUGGAGGGGAUGUUUCCUGUAGUGGGGGAGUCUAGGACCAGAGGACACAGAUAGAGUGGAUGUGGAGAGGAUGUUUCCUAUAGUGGGGGAGUCUAGGACCAGAGGACACAGAUAGAGUGGAUGUGGAGGGGAUGUUUCCUGUAGUGGGGGAGUCUAGUGCCAGAGAACACAGAUAGAGUGGAUGUGGAGGGGAUGUUUCCUGUAGUGGGGGAGUCUAGGACUAGAGGACACAGAUAGAGUGGAUGUGGAGAGGAUGGUUCCUAUAGUGGGGAGUCUAGGACCAGAGGACACAGAUAGAGUGGAUGUGGAGAGGAUGGUUCCUAUAGUGGGGAGUCUAGGACCAGAGGACACAGAUAGAGUGGAUGUGGAGAGGAUGGUUCCUAUAGUGGGGAGGUCUAGGACCAGAGGACACAGUUAGAGUGGAUGUGGAGGGGUUGUUUCCCACAGUGGGUUAGUCUAGGACUAGAGGACACAGAUAGAGUGGAUGUGGAGAGGAUGUUUCCUAUAAUGGAGUCUAGGACGAGAGGACACAGAUGGAGUGGAUGUGGAGAGGAUGUUUCCUAUAGUGGGGGAAUCUAGGACCAGAGGACACAGAUAGAGUGGAUGUGGAGAGGACGUUUCCUAUAGUGGGGGAGUCUAGGACCAGAGGUCACAGAUAGAGUGAUGUGGAGAGGAUGUUUCCUGUAGUGGGGGAGUCUAGGACCAGAGGGUACAGAUAGAGUGGAUGUGGAGGGGAUGUUUCCCACAGUGGGGGAGUCUAGGACCAGAGGACACAGAUAGAGUGGAUGUGGAGAGGAUGUUUCCUAGAGUGGGGGAGUCUAGGACCAGACGACACAGAUAGAGUGGAUGUGGAGAGGAUGUUUCCUAUAGUGGGGGAGUCUAGGACCAGAGGACACAGAUAGAGUGGAUGUGGAGGGGAUGUUUCCUGUAGUGGGGGAGUCUAGUGCCAGAGAACACAGAUAGAGUGGAUGUGGAGGGGAUGUUUCCUGUAGUGGGGGAGUCUAGGACCAGAGGACACAGAUAGAGUGGAUGUGGAGAGGAUGUUUCCUAUAGUGGGGAGUCUAGGACUAGAGGACACAGAUAGAGUGGAUGUGGAGAGGAUGGUUCCUAUAGUGGGGAGUCUAGGACCAGAGGACACAGAUAGAGUGGAUGUGGAGAGGAUGGUUCCUAUAGUGGGGAGGUCUAGGACCAGAGGACACAGUUAGAGUGGAUGUGGAGGGGUUGUUUCCCACAGUGGGUUAGUCUAGGACUAGAGGACACAGAUAGAGUGGAUGUGGAGAGGAUGUUUCCUAUAAUGGAGUCUAGGACGAGAGGACACAGAUGGAGUGGAUGUGGAGAGGAUGUUUCCUAUAGUGGGGGAAUCUAGGACCAGAGGACACAGAUAGAGUGGAUGUGGAGAGGACGUUUCCUAUAGUGGGGGAGUCUAGGACCAGAGGUCACAGAUAGAGUGAUGUGGAGAGGAUGUUUCCUGUAGUGGGGGAGUCUAGGACCAGAGGGUACAGAUAGAGUGGAUGUGGAGGGGAUGUUUCCCACAGUGGGGGAGUCUAGGACCAGAGGACACAGAUAGAGUGGAUGUGGAGAGGAUGUUUCCUAGAGUGGGGGAGUCUAGGACCAGACGACACAGAUAGAGUGGAUGUGCAGAGGACGUUUCCUGUAGUGGGGGAGUCAAGGACCAGAGGACACAGAUAGAGUGGAUGUGGAGAGGAUGUUUCCGAUAGUGGGGGAGUCUAGGACCAGAGGACACAGAUAUAGUGGAUGUGGAGAGGAUGUUUCCUAUAGUGGGGGACUCUAGAACCAGAGGACACAGAUAGAGUGGAUGUGGAGAGGAUGUUUCCUAGAGUGGGGGAGUCUAGGACCAGACGGCACAGAUAGAGUGGAUGUGCAGAGGACGUUUCCUGUAGUGGGGGAGUCAAGGACCAGAGGACACAGAUACAGUGGAUGUGGAGAGGAUGUUUCCGAUAGUGGGGGAGUCUAGGACCAGAGGACACAGAUAGAGUGGAUGUGGAGAGGAUGUUUCCUAUAGUGGGGGACUCUAGAACCAGAGGACACAGAUAGAGUGGAUGUGGAGAGGAUGUUUCCUAUAGUGGGGAGUCUAGGACCAGAGGACACAGAUAGAGUGGAUGUGGAGAGGAUGUUUCCUAUAGUGGGGGACUCUAGAACCAGAGGACACAGAUAGAGUGGAUGUGGAGAGGAUGUUUCCUAUAGUGGGGAGUCUAGGACCAGGGGACAGAGAUAGAGUGGAUGUGGAGAGGAUGGUUCCUAUAGUGGGGAGGUCUAGGACCAGAGGACACAGUUAGAGUGGAUGUGGAGAGGAUGUUUCCUAUAGUGGGGGAGUCUAGGACCAGAGGUCACAGAUAGAAUGGAUGUGGAGAGGAUGUUUCCUGUAGUGGGGGAGUCUAGGACCAGAGGGUACAGAUAGUGUGGAUGUGGAGGGGAUGUUUCCUAUAGUGGGGGAGUCUAGGACCAGAGGACACAGAUAGAGUGGAUGUGGAGAGGAUGUUUCCUAUAGUGGGGGAGUCUAGGACCAGAGGACACAGAUAGAGUGGAUGUGGAGGGGAUGUUUCCUGUAGUGGGGGAGUCUAGGACCAGAGGACACAGAUAGAGUGGAUGUGGAGAGGAUGUUUCCUAUAGUGGGGGAGUCUAGGACCAGAGGACACAGAUAGAGUGGAUGUGGAGGGGAUGUUUCCUGUAGUGGGGGAGUCUAGUGCCAGAGAACACAGAUAGAGUGGAUGUGGAGGGGAUGUUUCCUGUAGUGGGGGAGUCUAGGACUAGAGGACACAGAUAGAGUGGAUGUGGAGAGGAUGGUUCCUAUAGUGGGGAGUCUAGGACCAGAGGACACAGAUAGAGUGGAUGUGGAGAGGAUGGUUCCUAUAGUGGGGAGGUCUAGGACCAGAGGACACAGUUAGAGUGGAUGUGGAGGGGUUGUUUCCCACAGUGGGUUAGUCUAGGACUAGAGGACACAGAUAGAGUGGAUGUGGAGAGGAUGUUUCCUAUAAUGGAGUCUAGGACGAGAGGACACAGAUGGAGUGGAUGUGGAGAGGAUGUUUCCUAUAGUGGGGGAAUCUAGGACCAGAGGACACAGAUAGAGUGGAUGUGGAGAGGACGUUUCCUAUAGUGGGGGAGUCUAGGACCAGAGGUCACAGAUAGAGUGAUGUGGAGAGGAUGUUUCCUGUAGUGGGGGAGUCAAGGACCAGAGGACACAGAUAGAGUGGAUGUGGAGAGGAUGUUUCCGAUAGUGGGGGAGUCUAGGACCAGAGGACACAGAUAGAGUGGAUGUGGAGAGGAUGUUUCCUAUAGUGGGGGACUCCAGAACCAGAGGACACAGAUAGAGUGGAUGUGGAGAGGAUGUUUCCUAGAGUGUGGGAGUCUCGGACCAGACGACACAGAUAGAGUGGAUGUGCAGAGGACGUUUCCUGUAGUGGGGGAGUCAAGGACCAGAGGACACAGAUACAGUGGAUGUGGAGAGGAUGUUUCCUAUAGUGGGGAGUCUAGGACUAGAGGACACAGAUAGAGUGGAUGUGGAGAGGAUGGUUCCUAUAGUGGGGAGUCUAGGACCAGAGGACACAGAUAGAGUGGAUGUGGAGAGGAUGGUUCCUAUAGUGGGGAGGUCUAGGACCAGAGGACACAGUUAGAGUGGAUGUGGAGGGGUUGUUUCCCACAGUGGGUUAGUCUAGGACUAGAGGACACAGAUAGAGUGGAUGUGGAGAGGAUGUUUCCUAUAAUGGAGUCUAGGACGAGAGGACACAGAUGGAGUGGAUGUGGAGAGGAUGUUUCCUAUAGUGGGGGAAUCUAGGACCAGAGGACACAGAUAGAGUGGAUGUGGAGAGGACGUUUCCUAUAGUGGGGGAGUCUAGGACCAGAGGUCACAGAUAGAGUGAUGUGGAGAGGAUGUUUCCUGUAGUGGGGGAGUCUAGGACCAGAGGGUACAGAUAGAGUGGAUGUGGAGGGGAUGUUUCCCACAGUGGGGGAGUCUAGGACCAGAGGACACAGAUAGAGUGGAUGUGGAGAGGAUGUUUCCUAGAGUGGGGGAGUCUAGGACCAGACGACACAGAUAGAGUGGAUGUGCAGAGGACGUUUCCUGUAGUGGGGGAGUCAAGGACCAGAGGACACAGAUAGAGUGGAUGUGGAGAGGAUGUUUCCGAUAGUGGGGGAGUCUAGGACCAGAGGACACAGAUAUAGUGGAUGUGGAGAGGAUGUUUCCUAUAGUGGGGGACUCUAGAACCAGAGGACACAGAUAGAGUGGAUGUGGAGAGGAUGUUUCCUAGAGUGGGGGAGUCUAGGACCAGACGGCACAGAUAGAGUGGAUGUGCAGAGGACGUUUCCUGUAGUGGGGGAGUCAAGGACCAGAGGACACAGAUACAGUGGAUGUGGAGAGGAUGUUUCCGAUAGUGGGGGAGUCUAGGACCAGAGGACACAGAUAGAGUGGAUGUGGAGAGGAUGUUUCCUAUAGUGGGGGACUCUAGAACCAGAGGACACAGAUAGAGUGGAUGUGGAGAGGAUGUUUCCUAUAGUGGGGAGUCUAGGACCAGAGGACACAGAUAGAGUGGAUGUGGAGAGGAUGUUUCCUAUAGUGGGGGACUCUAGAACCAGAGGACACAGAUAGAGUGGAUGUGGAGAGGAUGUUUCCUAUAGUGGGGAGUCUAGGACCAGGGGACAGAGAUAGAGUGGAUGUGGAGAGGAUGGUUCCUAUAGUGGGGAGGUCUAGGACCAGAGGACACAGUUAGAGUGGAUGUGGAGAGGAUGUUUCCUAUAGUGGGGGAGUCUAGGACCAGAGGUCACAGAUAGAAUGGAUGUGGAGAGGAUGUUUCCUGUAGUGGGGGAGUCUAGGACCAGAGGGUACAGAUAGUGUGGAUGUGGAGGGGAUGUUUCCUAUAGUGGGGGAGUCUAGGACCAGAGGACACAGAUAGAGUGGAUGUGGAGAGGAUGUUUCCUAUAGUGGGGGAGUCUAGGACCAGAGGACACAGAUAGAGUGGAUGUGGAGGGGAUGUUUCCUGUAGUGGGGGAGUCUAGGACCAGAGGACACAGAUAGAGUGGAUGUGGAGAGGAUGUUUCCUAUAGUGGGGGAGUCUAGGACCAGAGGACACAGAUAGAGUGGAUGUGGAGGGGAUGUUUCCUGUAGUGGGGGAGUCUAGUGCCAGAGAACACAGAUAGAGUGGAUGUGGAGGGGAUGUUUCCUGUAGUGGGGGAGUCUAGGACUAGAGGACACAGAUAGAGUGGAUGUGGAGAGGAUGGUUCCUAUAGUGGGGAGUCUAGGACCAGAGGACACAGAUAGAGUGGAUGUGGAGAGGAUGGUUCCUAUAGUGGGGAGGUCUAGGACCAGAGGACACAGUUAGAGUGGAUGUGGAGGGGUUGUUUCCCACAGUGGGUUAGUCUAGGACUAGAGGACACAGAUAGAGUGGAUGUGGAGAGGAUGUUUCCUAUAAUGGAGUCUAGGACGAGAGGACACAGAUGGAGUGGAUGUGGAGAGGAUGUUUCCUAUAGUGGGGGAAUCUAGGACCAGAGGACACAGAUAGAGUGGAUGUGGAGAGGACGUUUCCUAUAGUGGGGGAGUCUAGGACCAGAGGUCACAGAUAGAGUGAUGUGGAGAGGAUGUUUCCUGUAGUGGGGGAGUCAAGGACCAGAGGACACAGAUAGAGUGGAUGUGGAGAGGAUGUUUCCGAUAGUGGGGGAGUCUAGGACCAGAGGACACAGAUAGAGUGGAUGUGGAGAGGAUGUUUCCUAUAGUGGGGGACUCCAGAACCAGAGGACACAGAUAGAGUGGAUGUGGAGAGGAUGUUUCCUAGAGUGUGGGAGUCUCGGACCAGACGACACAGAUAGAGUGGAUGUGCAGAGGACGUUUCCUGUAGUGGGGGAGUCAAGGACCAGAGGACACAGAUACAGUGGAUGUGGAGAGGAUGUUUCCGAUAGUGGGGGAGUCUAGGACCAGAGGACACAGAUAGAGUGGAUGUGGAGAGGAUGUUUCCUAUAGUGGGGGACUCUAGAACCAGAGGACACAGAUAGAGUGGAUGUGGAGAGGAUGUUUCCUAUAGUGUGGAGUCUAGGACCAGAGGACACAGAUAGAGUGGAUGUGGAGAGGAUGUUUCCUAUAGUGGGGGACUCUAGAACCAGAGGACACAGAUAGAGUGGAUGUGGAGAGGAUGUUUCCUAUAGUGGGGAGUCUAGGACCAGGGGACAGAGAUAGAGUGGAUGUGGAGAGGAUGGUUCCUAUAGUGGAGAGGUCUAGGACCAGAGGACACAGUUAGAGUGGAUGUGGAGAGGAUGUUUCCUAUAGUGGGGGAGUCUAGGACCAGAGGUCACAGAUAGAAUGGAUGUGGAGAGGAUGUUUCCUGUAGUGGGGGAGUCUAGGACCAGAGGGUACAGAUAGAGUGGAUGUGGAGGGGAUGUUUCCUAUAGUGGGGGAGUCUAGGACCAGAGGACACAGAUAGAGUGGAUGUGGAGAGGAUGUUUCCUAUAGUGGGGGAGUCUAGGACCAGAGGACACAGAUAGAGUGGAUGUGGAGGGGAUGUUUCCUGUAGUGGGGGAGUCUAGUGCUAGAGAACACAGAUAGAGUGGAUGUGGAGAGGAUGUUUCCUAUAGUGGGGGAGUCUAGGACCAGAGGACACAGAUAGAGUGGAUGUGGAGGGGAUGUUUCCUGUAGUGGGGGAGUCUAGGACCAGAGGACACAGAUAGAGUGGAUGUGGAGAGGAUGUUUCCUAUAGUGGGGGAGUCUAGGACCAGAGGUCACAGAUAGAGUGAUGUGGAGAGGAUGUUUCCUGUAGUGGGGGAGUCUAGGACCAGAGGGUACAGAUAGAGUGGAUGUGGAGGGGAUGUUUCCCACAGUGGGGGAGUCUAGGACCAGAGGACACAGAUGGAGUGGAUGUGGAGAGGAUGUUUCCUCUUGUGGGAGAGUCUAGGACUAGAGGACACAGAUAGAGUGGAUGUGGAGAGGAUGUUUCCUAUAAUGGAGUCUAGGACGAGAGGACACAGAUGUAGUGGAUGUGGAGAGGAUGUUUCCUAUAGUGGGGGAGUCUAGGACCAGAGGACACAGAUAGAGUGGAUGUGGAGAGGACGUUUCCUAUAGUGGGGGAGUCUAGGACCAGAGGUCACAGAUAGAGUGAUGUGGAGAGGAUGUUUCCUGUAGUGGGGGAGUCUAGGACCAGAGGGUACAGAUAGAGUGGAUGUGGAGGGGAUGUUUCCCACAGUGGGGGAGUCUAGGACCAGAGGACACAGAUAGAGUGGAUGUGGAGAGGAUGUUUCCUAGAGUGGGGGAGUCUAGGACCAGACGACACAGAUAGAGUGGAUGUGCAGAGGACGUUUCCUGUAGUGGGGGAGUCAAGGACCAGAGGACACAGAUAGAGUGGAUGUGGAGAGGAUGUUUCCGAUAGUGGGGGAGUCUAGGACCAGAGGACACAGAUAGAGUGGAUGUGGAGAGGAUGUUUCCUAUAGUGGGGGACUCUAGAACCAGAGGACACAGAUAGAGUGGAUGUGGAGAGGAUGUUUCCUAUAGUGGGGGAGUCUAGGACCAGAGGACACAGAUAGAGCGGAUGUGGAGAGGAUGUUUCCUAUAGUGAGGGAGUCUAGGACCAGAGGACACAGAUAGAGUGGAUGUGGAGAGGUUGUUUCCUAUAGUGGGGAGUCUAGAACCAGAGGACACAGAUAGAGUGGAUGUGGAGAGGAUGUUUCCUAUACUGGGGGAGUCUAGGACCAGAGGACACUGAUGGAGUGGAUGUGGAGAGGAUGUUUCCUCUAGUGGGAGAGUCUAGGACUAGAGGACACAGAUAGAGUGGAUGUGGAGAGGAUGUUUCCUAUAGUGGGGAGUCUAGGACCAGACACAGAUAGUUUGGAUGUGGAGAGGAUGGUUCCUAUAGUGGGGAGGUCUAGGACCAGAGGUCACAGAUAGAAUGGAUGUGGAGAGGAUGUUUCCUGUAGUGGGGGAGUCUAGGACCAGAGGGUACAGAUAGAGUGGAUGUGGAGGGGAUGUUUCCUAUAGUGGGGGAGUCUAGGACCAGAGGACACAGAUAGAGUGGAUGUGGAGAGGAUGUUUCCUAUAGUGGGGGAGUCUAGGACCAGAGGACACAGAUAGAGUGGAUGUGGAGGGGAUGUUUCCUGUAGUGGGGGAGUCUAGGACCAGAGGACACAGAUAGAGUGGAUGUGGAGAGGAUGUUUCCUAUAGUGGGGGAGUCUAGGACCAGAGGUGACAGAUAGAGUGAUGUGGAGAGGUUGUUUCCUGUAGUGGGGGAGUCUACGACCAGAGGACACAGAUAGAGUGAAUGUGGAGAGGAUGUUUCCUAUAGUGGGGGUGUCUAGGACCAGAGGUCACAGAUAGAGUGAUGUGGAGAGGAUGUUUCCUGUAGUGGGGGAGUCUAGGACCAGAGGGUACAGAUAGAGUGGAUGUGGAGGGGAUGUUUCCCACAGUGGGAGAGUCUAGGACUAGAGGACACAGAUAGAGUGGAUGUGGAGAGGAUGUUUCCUAUAAUGGAGUCUAGGACGAGAGGACACAGAUGGAGUGGAUGUGGAGAGGAUGUUUCCUAUAGUGGGGGAAUCUAGGACCAGAGGACACAGAUAGAGUGGAUGUGGAGAGGACGUUUCCUAUAGUGGGGGAGUCUAGGACCAGAGGUCACAGAUAGAGUGAUGUAGAGAGGAUGUUUCCUGUAGUGGGGGGGUCUAGGACCAGAGGGUACAGAUAGAGUGGAUGUGGAAGGGAUGUUUCCCACAGUGGGGUAGUCUAGGACCAGAGGACACAGAUAGAGUGGAUGUGGAGAGGAUGUUUCCUAGAGUGGGGGAGUCUAGGACCAGAGGACACAGAUAGAGUGUAUGUGCAGAGGACGUUUCCUGUAGUGGGGGAGUCAAGGGCCAGAGGACACAGAUAGAGUGGAUGUGGAGAGGAUGUUUCCGAUAGUGGGGGAGUCUAGGACCAGAGGACACAGAUAGAGUGGAUGUGGAGAGGAUGUUUCCUAUAGUGGGGGACUCUAGAACCAGAGGACACAGAUAGAGUGGAUGUGGAGAGGAUGUUUCCUAUAGUGGGGGAGUCUAGGACCAGAGGACACAGAUAGAGCGGAUGUGGAGAGGAUGUUUCCUAUAGUGAGGGAGUCUAGGACCAGAGGACACAGAUAGAGUGGAUGUGGAGAGGUUGUUUCCUAUAGUGGGGAGUCUAGAACCAGAGGACACAGAUAGAGUGGAUGUGGAGAGGAUGUUUCCUAUAGUGGGGGAGUCUAGGACCAGAGGACACAGAUGGAGUGGAUGUGGAGAGGAUGUUUCCUCUAGUGGGAGAGUGUAGGACUAGAGGACACAGAUAGAGUGGAUGUGGAGAGGAUGUUUCCUAUAAUGGAGUCUAGGACGAGAGCACACAGAUGGAGUGGAUGUGGAGAGGAUGUUUCCUAUAGUGGGGCAGUCUAGGACCAGAGGACACAGAUGGAGUGGAUGUAGAGAGGAUGUUUCCUGUAGUGGGGAAGUCUAGGACCAGAGGACACAGAUAGAGUGGAUGUGGAGUGGAUGUUUCCUAUAGUGGGGAGUCUAGGACCAGAGGACACAGGUUGAGUAGAUGUGGAGAGAAUGUUUCCUAUAUUGGGGGUGUCUAGAAUCACAGGGCACAGAUAGAGUGGAUGUGCAGAGGAUGUUUCCUAUAGUGAGGGAGUCUAGGACCAGAGGACACAGAUCGAGUGGAUGUGGAGAGGAUGUUUCCUAUAGUGGGGGAGUCUAGGACCAGAGUACACAGAUAGAGUGGAUGUGGAGAGGAUGUUUCCUAUAGUGGGGGAGUCUAGGACCAGAGGACACAGAGAGAGUGGAUGUGGAGAGGAUGUUUCCUAUAGUGGGAGAGUCUAGGACUAGAGGACACAGAUAGAGUGGAUGUGGAGAGGAUGUUUCCUAUAAUGGAGUCUAGGACGAGAGGACACAGAUGGAGUGGAUGUGGAGAGGACGUUUCCUAUAGUGGUGGAGUCUAGGACUAGAAUAGAAAGAAAACAGAGAUAAGAAGGAAUUUCUCUGAGCCGAGGGUGAUGAAUCUGUGGAAUUCAUUGCCACAGACGGCUGUGGAGACCAUUUAAAGUGGAUCAUCUCUUGACUAGUCUGGACGUUGAAGGUUAGGGGAGAAAGCAGGAGAACAGGACUGAGAGGGAUUGUAAUGGGCCAGUGAGGAUACAGUCAGUGAUACAGGACGAUGGGGGAGAGGGGUCACUGAGGGACGGUGUGAGGGAGCUGGAUUAACGCCAAUGGGGAUACAGUC